rnacentral:lncRNA from 1 species
CAAACAAGGAUGGUCAAUGAACUUCACUUUAACUCAUAUGAACUUCUAUGGCUAACCAGUGAAACCUGAAGCUGUUAAAGGUAUGAAAAAACUAUGAAACACAUACACUAUGUACUUCUGCAAUUAAAAGUGUUGUAUUAGCUCCUUCAGAGAUGACUCCGACCAACUCGUGGUCAAAUCCAUCCAUGCUGCCACAUCUUAAUACCAUUUUUGAACACAAAUCAUUAGUUAGAUAAUAACAAGCUAUAGAGGAUGAUGAACUGAUUAAUACAAUAUUUAUAACAAACUAAAAUAGUUUCAACAGACAAAAACCAACCAAGGAGGAACACUAAACAGUCUAGAAUACACUAAACAACCAAUUCAAGUGAGCAGAAGCUAAGUGUAAAUAUGACACGAAAAUAGCAAGUGUUACUCAUAUCACUAGAUGGAGAAUGAUAAAUGGAAAUUUACAUACCUAGCAGUAGAAUCAAACAAAAUAGAAAAUAAGCCUCUGAAAACUGGAAAAAGAGCAGUAGCAAGAACAAAUGCAGCAAGCAGGGAAGUAGCAAGAACAAAACCAGAAUCAACCUUGAAUUUAGCUCAAAAUUUAACUUGAGAAAGAUCAAAAUUUUGAUGAAUAGCACCCAAUAAGACCUCUGAAAUCUUUAUAUAAGAGAAACUAAGCUUAUAAAAGAAAAGGAAAGGAAAAUCUAAGGUAAAUUCUGGUGUGUAUUUGAGAGGAGUGAUUCUGAGUAUUAACCUCUGUGUGUGAGGAAGUGUGAGUGAAAGAGUGAGAGUGAGCAGCAAGGUUUUUGGUUCUCAAAGGGGAAGGAAGUCUGUUCGAUUUUUUUGGAGUAGAUGAAUUGGGCGGCGAGGUUUUGCGUAUGGGAUCGAAGGGUCUUGUCGGAGUUGAUGGAGAGGUGAGGCGCCGCUGCCAGGGUUCGUCUAUGGGAGGGGAGGGUCCG